CGAGUGAAGCGGCAACAGCUCAAAUUUGAAAUCUGGCCUUCUGGUCCGAAUUGUAAUUUGUAGAGGAUGCUUUUGGUUAGGUACCUUUCGAGUUCCUUGGAACAGGACGCCUUAGAGGGUGAGAGCCCCGUACGAUUGGAUACCGAGCCUCUGUAAAGCUCCUUCGACGAGUCGAGUAGUUUGGGAAUGCUGCUCUAAAUGGGAGGUAAAUUUCUUCUAAAGCUAAAUACCGGCCAGAGACCGAUAGCGCACAAGUAGAGUGAUCGAAAGAUGAAAAGCACUUUGAAAAGAGGGUUAAAUAGUACGUGAAAUUGUUGAAAGGGAAGGGCUUAUGACCAGACCUUUGCCUUGCGGAUCAUCCGGUGUUCUCACCGGUGCACUCCGCUUGGUUGAGGCCAGCAUCAGUUUUGGCGGCCGGAUAAAGACUUCAGGAAUGUGACUCCUCCGGGAGUGUUAUAGCCUGCUGUGUAAUACGGCCGCUGGGACUGAGGACCGCGCUUCGGCUAGGAUGCUGGCAUAAUGGUCAUCAGCCACCCGUCUUGAAACACGGACCAAGGAGUCGAACAUUUAUGCGAGUUUUUGGGUGUUAAACCCUCAAGCGUAAUGAAAGUGAACGGAGGUGAGAGCCCUUACGGGUGCAUCAUCGACCGAUCCUGAUGUCUUCGGAUGGAUUUGAGUAAGAGCAUAACUGUUCGGACCCGAAAAGAUGGUUGAACUAUGCGUGGAUAGGGUGAAGCCAGAGGAAACUCUGGUGGAGGCUCGCAGCGGUUCUGACGUGCAAAUCGAUCGUCAAAUCUGCGCAU
rnacentral:rRNA from 1 species